UACUUUUAAGUAAAAUUCUGUAAAACAAAUCUAUAAAUAAAAUUUUAGUUUUUCUGUUAUAAGUAAUUUUAAAUAAAUUUUAUUAAAAAUCUUAGAUAAAAGAUUUACACAAAUCCGGAAUAGAACCCGAGUAUGAAUUUUAUUCUAGGUAGUAUUUAAAAACCUAAAUUGUGUGGCAGUUAUUUAUUCUAAUUAGAGAAUUUUGGUUAAUAAAUUGACAGCCCACAAUUUUAUUUACUUAAUUUUCGCUUGUGUGUGGUUGUUUAAAAAUAAAUUAAAAUUUAAAUUUUUGUCCAAAUAACAUAUAGUUUAAUUAAGGAUUAUCUGAAAUGCUUUUGUUCUUUUUAAUUAUAUUAAGGAUUUAAUAGUAGGCAAAAAAAAUCGAAU
rnacentral:rRNA from 1 species